rnacentral:rRNA from 1 species
AUUGAACGCUGGCGGCAGGCCUAACACAUGCAAGUCGAGCGUGCGGCGGACGUGUGUGUUAUGCCUGGGAAUUGCCCAGUCGAGGGGUAUAUCCGUUGGACACGACUGCUAACACCGUAUCCGCUUGGAUCGCCCAGGUGGGAUUAGCUAGUUGGUGAGGUAAUGGCUCCCCAAGGCGACGACCCCUAGCUGGUCUGAGAGGAUGAUCAGCCACACUGGAACUGAGACACGGUCCAGACUCCUACGGGAGGCAGCAGUGGGGAAUAUUGCACAAUGGGGGAAACCCUGAUGCAGCCAUGCCGCGUGUGUGAAGAAGGCCUUCGGGUUGUAAAGCACUUUCAGCGGGGAGGCGUUACUCGCAGAAGAAGCACCGGCUAACUCCGUGCCAGCAGCCGCGGUAAUUC